rnacentral:rRNA from 1 species
GAUGAACGCUGGCGGCGUGCCUAAUACAUGCAAGUCGAGCGAACAGACGAGGAGCUUGCUCCUCUGACGUUAGCGGCGGACGGGUGAGUAACACGUGGAUAACCUACCUAUAAGACUGGGAUAACUUCGGGAAACCGGAGCUAAUACCGGAUAAUAUAUUGAACCGCAUGGUUCAAUAGUGAAAGACGGUUUUGCUGUCACUUAUAGAUGGAUCCGCGCCGCAUUAGCUAGUUGGUAAGGUAACGGCUUACCAAGGCAACGAUGCGUAGCCGACCUGAGAGAGUGAUCGGCCACACUGGAACUGAGACACGGUCCAGACUCCUACGGGAGGCAGAAGUAGGGAAUCUUCCGCAAUGGGCGAAAGCCUGACGGAGCAACGCCGCGUGAGUGAUGAAGGUCUUCGGAUCGUAAAACUCUGUUAUUAGGGAAGAACAAAUGUGUAAGUAACUAUGCACGUCUUGACGGUACCUAAUCAGAAAGCCACGGCUAACUACGUG